AGUGAACGCUGGCGGUAGGCCUAACACAUGCAAGUCGAACGGCAGCACAGUAAGAGCUUGCUCUUACGGGUGGCGAGUGGCGGACGGGUGAGGAAUACAUCGGAAUCUACUUUUUCGUGGGGGAUAACGUAGGGAAACUUACGCUAAUACCGCAUACGACCUACGGGUGAAAGCAGGGGAUCUUCGGACCUUGCGCGAUUGAAUGAGCCGAUGUCGGAUUAGCUAGUCGGCGGGGUAAAGGCCCACCAAGGCGACGAUCCGUAGCUGGUCUGAGAGGAUGAUCAGCCACACUGGAACUGAGACGCGGUCCAGACUCCUACGGGAGGCAGCAGUGGGGAAUAUUGGACAAAGGGCGCAAGCCUGAUCCAGCCAUACCGCGUGGGUGAAGAAGGCCUUCGGGUUGUAAAGCCCUUUUGUUGGGAAAGAAAAGCAGCAGGUUAAUACCCCGCUGUUCUGACGGUACCCAAAGAAUAAGCACCGGCUAACUUCGUG
rnacentral:rRNA from 1 species